rnacentral:ncRNA from 1 species
GGACGAACGCUGGCGGCGUGCCUAAUACAUGCAAGUCGAGCGGAACUGGGGGAGCUUGCUCCUUCCAGUUUAGCGGCGGACGGGUGAGUAACACGUGGGCACGAAGCCCCCCUCAAGAUGAGAUUUCCCAUUGCGCAAGCAAGUAAGAUCCCUCAAAGACGAUGAGGUAGAUAGGUUCGAGGUGGAAGCGUGGCGACACGUGCAGCUGACGAAUACUAAUCGAUCGA